GGUAAAAUGGCCGAGUAGGCAUUAGACUGUAAAUCUAAAGACAGAGGUAGAGCAUUCCUCUUUUUACCA
rnacentral:tRNA from 1 species